rnacentral:lncRNA from 1 species
UAUUGUUGUCACCAUUACCACUAUGAAAGUAGGGAUGUUUUGUUUAUUGGUAGUGGUUGUUCCCCCAAGUUCUUUUGGAACAUGUUCCUUUAAGUUGGGGAACCCUUCUUAUAAAUGUUUAUAUGGGUUUUGGUCCAUUGCUCACUAUAAAGUCCUGUAUGAUCAAUUACCUUUGAAGAUUGAGGUUAGGCAGGAGAUUUAGCAAAAGCGCCAACUGAGGUGGUGUAUUUAGGUAAGCACAAGGUGACAUGUGGAUGAUGAUUCAAUGAGUAAUAUAUACAACAUGAAAGCCACAUGGAUAGGGUGUACAUAACCCCUAACAAUAGCCACGACUAGAAUUAUCGUUAUUGCCAUCAUCGUGACUAGACCUAGGCUCCAUUAACACCAUAAUUGUUACUGUUAUUGUCGCUAUCAUUACCUCCAUAAUCUGAAAAUUGCAAUAACCAGAAAUAAAUAAACCAAUAUUUUCCUAGUAUAACUUAAAAUAAAAAAAGAAGAUUCUAAUGCAACAAUUGUUCUUGCAUCAUUGUGAUGUACAAGUUAAGGAAACACUUUUUGUUAUUCGAAUAUACUAAUAUUAGUAUUGCUCUAAUUGUAUUCAUGCCUUUUAAAGAUUAAAUGUUGUUUUUUCUCUAAGAAAUUCGAUGCAAAGUUACAUUUAAAGGAUAAUAUUCCUUUUCUUGUUACCUUUUCUUCACUAUAAUAGGCAAUGAAUGCCUUUUCACCUAGAUAGGUAAGAACCGGAUGGUAAGUACCAGCUUGGGCAUAAACUCGUACGUAGAAUCCCUUCGCUUUAGGAAGAUCGAUCCAACCAAUAAAAAAAAGAAAAAAAAUUAAUUUAAUAGGUUACGACUCGCAUUUGCGAGCCUUCUUCUCGAGCCCUCUUCCUUGACACACACCUAAGUCAUUGUUAUUGCUUGUCAUUGCCAUUGUCGUUACUUGUUACGGAUUUAACAUGUUUUGCCCAAGUCAUACGAUACCUUUGUAUGUCUAUCUAUAAAGGGUUAGCCUCUCCGUAACCUUACAAGUGCCCCUAAGGACUUACAAAAGAGAAAAUGAGUUAGUAAAAACAUUAAACUUGAGAUUCCAUAAGUAGACAUUUCAGUAAGCACUUGAUAGGCAAUGCAAAAUACAAGGAUAAACGUUAUAAGCUUGAAACGGUUGUGUAACAAAGGGUCUAAGGUAAUAUAUCACACUUAAAAGUCCCUAUAUAUAAGUGGCUAUAUGACACUGCUAUGGAGCCAAGCAAUGAACUAACAUAAGAUCCUACUCCAAAGGCUUAUCUAUUCAUGUGUCACCCGGGUAGCUCCAAGGUACUGAGAUAGAUAAUAUUUUUUACGUCUCUCUAUACAUGGAAAACAUCCAAAAUGGUUGGCUGAAGGCCCUUUUUUGGGGUAGUUUCAAUGAUUUAAAAAGCGGCAUAUGUAAAGAUCCCAAAAUGCUCGAAGCGCUAGAUGCUUGCCCAAGCAAAGCGAGGCAUUCUGAAAUAUUAAAAUAUAAAAAAUAUAUAAUACAAUUGAUAAAUAUGAUUAUAUAAAUAAAAAUAUGAUAUUAAAUUAAAAAUAUCUAAUAAAAAUAUCAAGUCAUAUUAUCGAUCUUCUAAUAACAAAAAUGUCAAAAGACUCAAAACAAUAAAGUUUUAUAUCAAAUUCAAUCAUCAUUAUAAUCAACAUCGUCAUUCUCAAAUAUAUCAAUUUUCUCUUCCUCUUGUCCAUCUUCAUUAAAAUAGGUUUCCUCCUCUUCAACAAUGGUGGGAGAUGAACUUGAGGCUUUUGCACUCAUUUUUGCCUUCAUCAUUUGUCUUGUAUAUAUCUGUAAUUCUCCAACACUUGAGACUCUUGCCACAUCUCCUCAUGUCAAGCUAUCAUCUUCAAAUACAAGCUUAUCUUUGACAUCUUACAAGUUCGCACAUAUUUUCUCCACCAACC